CAUGGCGAAAGUGCAGGCCG
rnacentral:piRNA from 1 species